UGCAAGUCGAACGGCAGCACGGGAGCAAUCCUGGUGGCGAGUGCGAACGGUGAGUAAUAUAUCGGAACGUGCCCAGUCGUGGGGGAUAACGUAGCGAAAGCUACGCUAAUACCGCAUACGAUCUAUGGAUGAAGCGGGGAUCGCAAGACCUCGCGCGAUUGGAGCGGCCGAUAUCAGAUUAGGUAGUUGGUGAGGUAAAGGCUCACCAAGCCGACGAUCUGUAGCUGGUCUGAGAGGACACCGGAGCCACACUGGGACUGAGACACGGCCCAGACUCCUACGGGAGGCAGCAGUGGGGAAUUUUUGGACAAUGGGCGCAAGCCUGAUCCAGCAAUGCCGCGUGCAGGAUGAAGGCCUUCGGGUUGUAAACUGCUUUUGUACGGAACGAAACGGUGAGCUCUAAUACAGUUUGCUAAUGACGGUACCGUAAGAAUAAGCACCGGCUAACUACGUG
rnacentral:rRNA from 1 species